GAGCUAAAAAGCAACUGGGAGGAUAAGUUAGAUUGGUCUGGGAAGAUUAUAAGCAAAUGGAAUUUACACAAUGCGUUAUAAGUGAAACUCUUCGGCUGGGAAAUGUAGUCAGAUUUGUACAUUAAAUCUCUGUCGGCUUCGGAAUUCUUCUCUAAAUCUCUGUCUCCGUCUAAUAAUCCGACGUUAAUUUCGAUAAAAAAAUCGAAAAUGAAGGCUCUUAUUCUUGUUGGAGGUUUCGGAACCAGGCUAAGGCCGUUGACACUUAUUGUCCCUAAGACACUCAUUGAUUUCGCUAACAAACCAAUGAUUCUACAUCAGAUGUGUUAUGCCGAUGAAGACACCAACAAGACAUUACAAACAUGCGGUGUUAGUCAAAAUCUCAAUUUGAUACUGGUGUUGUUCCAAUUUAGUGUAUAGAUAUUCAUCCAGAAGUCUGGCAGGCUCUUUGAAUCCUACAAGGGAAUUGAGGAGUAUCCUGGAUGGCAAUCAAAGAAUAAUGUUUUAGAUCAUGGUGGAGAAGAAACACAACCAAUUUCAUCCAUCACUUCCUGAUGCAGGGGAAACCCAUCAAUCCAUCACUUCCCUACUUAGGUUUGGCAAUAUUUUGAUUUUUAUUAAGAACACCCUAUUACUAAUUUUUCAUCUGGAUUUUUUUUGUGAAUUGACAUUACCUAAGUUUUAUAUGCACGCUGCAAAUGGAUUUCUAAUAAUUUGGUACUUUCGGGCAUAAAUUUGCUUAAAUUAACUCCAUUAGGUGUAAAAAAAUAUUUUCUCAUGUUUGAGGAUGGAGGAUGAAAAUGUGAGUGGGUUUAAAUUAGAUAACUCUCUGUUAGAAUCAACAUAGUUAACCAAAAUGUUGGCGACUUUAGACUUUAUGUAACUGUUAGCUUAAUUUCUUUAAAAUUA